ensembl:lncRNA novel transcript
CACCAUAAUUUUUUUUUUUUUUUUUGAGACGGAGUCUCACACUGUCGCCAAGGCUGGAGUGCAGUGGUGAGAUCUCGGCUCACUGCAACCUCCGCUUCCCGCGUUCAAGCGAUUCUCCUGCCCAAACCUCUCGAGUAGCUGGGGCUACAGGCACGUGACAACAUCCCCGGCUAAUUUUUUUCUUUUGAUUUGUUUAGCUGGUGGCCCUUAGGCUUGGGAUCUUAGUUCAAAAUCAUUGUACAAACUAAAUUUAUUCUACUAUUGCUAAUU